ensembl:lncRNA
AGUGGGGAAAACUCUUCCAGUUUCAAAUUGACUUUCUCAGCUCCCCAUUGAGUACCUGGGAUUUCCUGAGUAUUUCUUCAGAUGUUAAUCCUACUCAGGUCUUGUAGCUGUUGGCUGUUUGUUCCUAUCCACUUACCUUUUGGAGAUCAGGGAGGUGCUUUGUCAGUUUGUGCAACCAGACAUGCAGUGCCAGGCUACGUGCCCUGUGAUGCUAUGUGCCAGUGGAGGCCAGGACUGAGUUGGGAAGGAGGUGCUCUGGUCUAUUUUUCUGCCAAGUUGGGUGUGACGGAUGGAACCCGUGGAAUAUGCUCAGGCCUGAGCCCCUCCAAGGUUAUCAGUGGGGUCUGCUCUCCCCAGGGGCUGUCUCUCUGGGCCUCUCCUAGGAGCACCCCCUCCCAGAAGCCAGGCUGACCCAUGGCAUGGGCACCACCAAGCACCAAUGCUCCUUUUCAGCUCUCAGCGGGGGUGGGGGUAAAGCAGCUUUACCCAAGAUGAAAAGACACUAUUAUUAGUUUUUAAAUGAAAAAGUAAGGUGUAUUCAUUAUUUUUUUAAAAUCAAGCAUAAAAAUAAAAGUAGAAAGAAGAAAUGAAGACAUCACCUAUUAUCUCCCUCUUUCCAUAACUUUCUAGAGGAAAUGUAUGUAUUUUUCUACACAAAUAUGCACAAUAAGUUGAACAUAUUUUCCUUUUAUAAGAAUGGGGUGAAAUCAACCUUUGCCAACUGAUUUUCUUACUUAGUCAUAUAUCAUAACAAUUUUCCAGAGCCAUAAUUAUAGAUUUAUGUAGUCAUUUUAAUAGUUGCAUAUAACUGCAUAUAGAAGAAUCAUAAUUUAACCUAGGGGUCAGUAAACUUUCUGGAAAGGACUGGACAAUACAUAUUUUUGGUCUUGUAGACCAGAUGGGCUCUGUUGCAACUACUCAAGUCUGCAAUUAGGGGUCUCAAGUGGUCAAAGAUAAUAUGUAAAAUUUAUAAAUGAAAUGGC